UGGUAAAUACGCCACCCUUUUUAAGAAAGAUUGAGCCAAAGAAACCCCAGAGCUUUAAACAUAUGAAUCACUUGAAUCACAACUCUCAUUUGAAUACCUUCCACAAGCAAUAAAAAAAUGGCUUCGGUUUUAUUUUCCUUUACCAUCCUUGCCAAAACCAGAUAGGCUUUGUAGCUUGUUUUUCCUGUUUUGGCUGAUGAAUUUUUAACUUUUGAAAAUAACUGAGUGCAAAAAGCUGUAGCGUAGAAGUGCAAAGUGCAUCAGGUCAUAACAAUCCCUCAUUAGCCUUGGACCUAUCAAAAUAACGAAUUGCAAUUAAAAUAAACAACAAAGAUGUAGAGGACUACACAUCUUAUCUCAUGCACAUAACGUAAGGAGCAACACGGGACGAAGCAGACAUGGCACUAAACGUCCUGGGGACCAGCAGCUCUGCACUACAGUCACCAAGAUGAGGAAGGAAAAGGUCAGGAGUUAAGUCCCACCUCAGCCUGUAUAAGCAAAAGGCAAAAGAAACAGCAACAGCUCCCACUCCUUUCUCUGUCUCAGGAAAUUGAGCAGGGAGGCAGAUGCUGAGGACUGCCUUGCUGUGCUAUUUGGAGCACUGGUAGCGCACGCAGCGAUCCUGCAGGGCACGCCGCUGCCUCUGAACAGCAGCGUGGUGAAAGCACAGGCAGGUAGGCAAACCCAUAUCGAGCACUGUGCAGCAGCAGCAAAGCAAUUUAAGUGAAGAAAGCAAGCUUCUUGACAUCACAAGGUGUUCUGGCCUGAAGCAUUUGAUCCCCUUGGUCAUCAUCACCAUCCUCUGUAGCACAGGCAAUUGCCAUAACAAUUCAAACUCUAUCCUAUUACAAAGGGAAAAGUUUUGGAUCAGGUCACUAAAGAAUCGAUAAAAAAAAUUAAUAAUACCUACAAAAAUUUCCCUUAAACCAUUCUCGUAACAAACUGAAGUCAGCAAGCACCCGACCUGAGGAGCUCCCUGCACCUGGCUUAUCCAUAACACCCCGUUGCCUUCUCUGGUCUGCUUCCACCCAUGAGGAGAGCAGCUACAGAAGAAGUUGCAUUACAUAUGGACAGCCGUCAUUCUACAGCCAUCGCAUGGUACGAGAAGAAAGUGGGACAAUCUGUUUAACAACAGUAGUGACUUAGGGACCUGACUU
rnacentral:lncRNA from 1 species